CCCAGCUUUCCCACACACCCACAUCAGCCAGGACUCCCAUAGUUCUACAUUUCACCAGCCCCUCAGUAGACCUGAGAGCAGUGUCCCCAAGGGAGGCCUAGGAACAUUCUGCUCGGAUUCCUGAAGCCCACCUCAAACCCGUGAAUCAGAACUUCUAUGGGUGGUGCCUAGGGAAGGCAUGUCCCCAAACUCUUUGAAUGCUUUUAUUCCCAAGUGAUUUUGCUGGAUCCUGGAGUCUGAAAACAGCGGUCAUGGAGAACUACUUCUGGGUUCGAUAUUCAUCUCAGGUUCUACCAAAUGUGGUCAACUUUGUUCUGAAAACAACACAACUCAAAAUGGCUCACUUUACUCGUGCCUAACGUGUGCCUCAUCCUUCAAGGCACUUGAGCUGAGACCCCGGACACGGACUCCAGCAUCCCUCCGCUGGGCUGUAACUGGAAGCUAAGAGUACACCACAAAACCAGAGACAUUUUUUAGCAUCCGAUUGGGUGGUGCAACAUCUUCUUCGUACAGAUGGAGAGACGGCAGCCCAGAAAGAGGGAGAGCCAUUCUGGGGGUUACCCGGGAAGUGGGGCAUGGCCAGGGUGCCAGCCCGUCUUCCUCCAGAGCCUCGUCCAACCCUCCCCAUUCUUCACGUAACAGCUGGCACUAUUCCCCCCAGGUUCCCUUAACCUUUGGCCAUACCAAUUUUUUCUGGGUGUUUACAGUAUUCCAAGCACAGUGCUAACAAAAGUGUUUUGCCAGCAUUGUCUGAUUUCAUCGUCAUCCCUGUUUGACAAAUAAGAAAACUGAGGUUUGCAGUCACUCGGCUCAUUAGUGGAAGAGAAGGGACCUGAAUCCCGGCCUGGGGGUGCCCAGGCCCUCCGCUCUGGGCGACCUCUUACUGUAAACCGUCAGCCCUUCCAGGAAGACACCAUGCUGUUCCCAUUUUAUAGCUGGUGGGACCAAGAGCGUGAGUGGCUGGCCCAGGAUCACAUAGCUGGUGAUGGAUAGAGUGAGGACCGAAAGCUCGGUCUGGCUCCAGUGUUUCUAAACUGCGGGCUCGCUUGCUGUUUUUCCGCCCCUCAUGGA
rnacentral:lncRNA from 1 species